CUCCCUUUCCCCCCACGUACAUCAAGCCCCUUCUCCUACGCCCAUGGCUAACCCUAGCCGCCAUUGUCGCCAGCGCACUACGCUGUCUUGGAUGCCAGCGCGGCUCCAACGCCUCAUGGCGCUCCUCAUCAAGGUAUCCUGCCCGCUCUACUGCAUCACUGAGGCCGUCGAGCGCGAGGGCAUGCACUCCCGGCCGCAGCGGUGGUUCCCGAUCUGCGCCGCGGCCAGGGGGAGCUGCCGUGCCGGGACCGCGCGGCAAGCAUGCAGACCUGCGACUCCUCCGACGGGAGGAGGAGAACAUGGUGGCAGCGGGCCAGUGGGAAGGGGGCGUCCGGGUCGACGAGGCGCUGCGAUACGAGGCGAAGGACGAGGACGAGGUGGGGAUCACCGUUUGCACGCACGGGUAGAUCGGCGGCGAGCCCGACGCCAGCGCUACCAACAUCGGCACCAGCAGGGGCGCGCUCAAGGAAGGCGCGGGCGUGGCGGACCAGAUGCAGAAGCAGUGGACCAGGGCCGACACGGUGCUUGUGGGCGCCUGGCGAAUUUGCAGGCGUGGCGUCAUGACCGGGCACAGAAGAAGGUCUCGGCAGCACCCAAUGGCAGGCUGAACGGCAUGGGUGGCAUAUCAAAAUCCUCGUGGCAUCCAUAGGGCAGUGGGCAACCAUGUUCUUGGGGAAAAAAUUGUAGCUCGCAUGGUGAGAUGCUCACCAGUAGUCAUAGUUGCAGUUUUGGUGCGUCAACGUCAAGUGGUGGAUACAUUGUUGGCUUGAAUUUGCAUGUCCCCUGAAGGUUCUAAGUGAGUGUUGCAUCAAAGGGUGUUGUUAUGAUUUCCUCGAGGUAUGGAUCAGGGGAGUCAGGUUUACAUGAUUUAGCUCGUUGUUGGCUGGAAGAUUACAACAAAGAAUAUAUAGGAUGACAAUCGUUACAAUGCUCUGGGAGUGGGGCACAUCUUACGUUUAAGAGGGCCGAGAAAAAUCGGAUUUUGGUUGACAAGAUUCUGGGAAUGGUAGAUGUUUUGACCAGAAAAAUCAUAGCUUCGGAGAAUGAAAGAGGAAGAGUUCACAUGAUAUGAUGGCGUACUCCUUCUCUCAAUGCUGGAUGAAUACAUGAUCGUUUGGCAGGACAAAGAACAGGAAAGAAAAGACAAAGAG